GCUUCCCUCUUUCUUCGUGCCUAAUACAUGCAAGUCGAGCGAACGGAUGAGAAGCUUGCUUCUCUGAUGUUAGCGGCGGACGGGUGAGUAACACGUGGAUAACCUACCUAUAAGACUGGGAUAACUUCGGGAAACCGGAGCUAAUACCGGAUAAUAUUUUGAACCGCAUGGUUCAAAAGUGAAAGACGGUCUUGCUGUCACUUAUAGAUGGAUCCGCGCUGCAUUAGCUAGUUGGUAAGGUAACGGCUUACCAAGGCAACGAUGCAUAGCCGACCUGAGAGGGUGAUCGGCCACACUGGAACUGAGACACGGUCCAGACUCCUACGGGAGGCAGCAGUAGGGAAUCUUCCGCAAUGGGCGAAAGCCUGACGGAGCAACGCCGCGUGAGUGAUGAAGGUCUUCGGAUCGUAAAACUCUGUUAUUAGGGAAGAACAUAUGUGUAAGUAACUGUGCACAUCUUGACGGUACCUAAUCAGAAAGCCACGGCUAACUACGUG
rnacentral:rRNA from 1 species